rnacentral:rRNA from 1 species
CAGCAGCCGCGGUAAUACGUAGGGUGCAAGCGUUAAUCGGAAUUACUGGGCGUAAAGCGUGCGCAGGCGGUUUUGUAAGACAGAGGUGAAAUCCCCGGGCUCAACCUGGGAACUGCCUUUGUGACUGCAAGGCUAGAGUACGGCAGAGGGGGAUGGAAUUCCGCGUGUAGCAGUGAAAUGCGUAGAUAUGCGGAGGAACACCGAUGGCGAAGGCAAUCCCCUGGGCCUGUACUGACGCUCGUGCACGAAAGCGUGGGGAGCAAACAGGAUUAGAUACCCGUGUAGUCCCUGUCUCUUAUAC